rnacentral:misc_RNA from 1 species
GUGAAUCAUCAAAUUUUUGAACGCAAAUUGCACUCUCCUCGGAGAGUAUGCCUGUUUGAGGGUCAGCCUAUAAAAAAUCGACACCGUUCCUGUUCCGCGGUGGCGUUCGUCGGAAAUUGGGCCAUCUUAAAUCCUUUUGUUUUAACCGAUUUAAAUUUUUCUUUUUGUUCCUUAACCGUUCUUAAGAUUUUUUCUUUUACCCGUUUAA